rnacentral:rRNA from 1 species
AUUGAACGCUGGCGGCAUGCCUUACACAUGCAAGUCGAACGGCAGCACGGGAGCUUGCUCCUGGUGGCGAGUGGCGAACGGGUGAGUAAUACAUCGGAACGUACCCUGAAGUGGGGGAUAACGUAGCGAAAGUUACGCUAAUACCGCAUAUUCUGUGAGCAGGAAAGAGGGGGAUCGCAAGACCUCUUGUUUUAGGAGCGGCCGAUGUCGGAUUAGCUAGUUGGUGAGGUAAAGGCUCACCAAGGCGACGAUCCGUAGCGGGUCUGAGAGGAUGAUCCGCCACACUGGGACUGAGACACGGCCCAGACUCCUACGGGAGGCAGCAGUGGGGAAUUUUGGGACAAUGGCGCAAGCCUGAUCCAGCCAUGCCGCGUGAGUGAAGAAGGCC